rnacentral:misc_RNA from 1 species
UGACCUCAACGGCCAGA